UUGCCCUAGUAACGGCGAGUGAAGCGGCAACAGCUCAAAUUUGAAAUCUGGCUCUUUUAGAGUCCGAGUUGUAAUUUGCAGAGGGCGCUUUGGCUUUGGCAGCGGUCCAAGUUCCUUGGAACAGGACGUCACAGAGGGUGAGAAUCCCGUACGUGGUCGCUAGCUAUUGCCGUGUAAAGCCCCUUCGACGAGUCGAGUUGUUUGGGAAUGCAGCUCUAAAUGGGAGGUAAAUUUCUUCUAAAGCUAAAUAUUGGCCAGAGACCGAUAGCGCACAAGUAGAGUGAUCGAAAGAUGAAAAGCACUUUGGAAAGAGAGUCAAACAGCACGUGAAAUUGUUGAAAGGGAAGCGCUUGCAGCCAGACUUGCUUGCAGUUGCUCAUCCGGGCUUUUGCCCGGUGCACUCUUCUGCAGGCAGGCCAGCAUCAGUUUGGGCGGUGGGAUAAAGGUCUCUGACACGUUCCUUCCUUCGGGUUGGCCAUAUAGGGGAGACGUCAUACCACCAGCCUGGACUGAGGUCCGCGCAUCUGCUAGGAUGCUGGCG
rnacentral:rRNA from 4 species